rnacentral:rRNA from 1 species
CCUACGGGGUGCAGCAGUGAGGAAUAUUGGUCAAUGGACGAGAGUCUGAACCAGCCAAGUAGCGUGAAGGAUGACUGCCCUAUGGGUUGUACACUUCUUUUAUAUGGGAAUAACAUGUUCCACGUGUGGGAUUUUGUAUGUACCAUAUGAAUAAGGAUCGGCUAACUCCGUGCCAGCAGCCGCGGUAAUACGGAGGCUCCGAGCGUUAUCCGGAUUUAUUGGGUUUAAAGGGAGCGUAGGUGGAUUGUUAAGUCAGUUGUGAAAGUUUGCGGCUCAACCGUAAAAUUGCAGUUGAAACUGGCAGUCUUGAGGACAGUAGAGGUGGGCGGAAUGCGUGGUGUAGCGGUGAAAUGCUUAGAGAUCACGAAGAACUCCGAUUGCGAAGGCAGUUCACUGUACUGCAACUGACACUGAGGCUCGAAAGUGUGGGUAUCAAACAGGAUUAGAUACCCCUGUAGUC